rnacentral:rRNA from 1 species
UACGUAGGUGGCAAGCGUUGUCCGGAAUUACUGGGCGUAAAGGGCGCGUAGGCGCCAUUCAAGUCAGGCGUGAAAGCCCCGGGCUCAACCUGGGAAUGGCGCUUGGGACUGGGUGGCUGGAGUUCGGGAGAGGAGCGUGGAAUUCCCAGUGUAGAGGUGAAAUUCGUAGAUAUUGGGAAGAACACCGGUGGCGAAGGCGGCGCUCUGGACCGAUACUGACGCUGAGGCGCGAAAGCGUGGGGAGCGAACAGG